rnacentral:rRNA from 1 species
AGCGAACGCUGGCGGCAGGCCUAACACAUGCAAGUCGAACGAACUCUUCGGAGUUAGUGGCGGACGGGUGAGUAACACGUGGGAACGUGCCUUUAGGUUCGGAAUAACUCAGGGAAACUUGUGCUAAUACCGAAUGUGCCCUUCGGGGGAAAGAUUAUCGCCUUUAGAGCGGCCCGCGUCUGAUUAGCUAGUUGGUGAGGUAAAGGCUCACCAAGGCGACGAUCAGUAGCUGGUCUGAGAGGAUGAUCAGCCACAUUGGGACUGAGACACGGCCCAAACUCCUACGGGAGGCAGCAGUGGGGAAGUCUUGCGCAAUGGGCGAAAGCCUGACGCAGCCAUGCCGCGUGAAUGAUGAAGGUCUUAGGAUUGU